GUGCUCGCUUUGGCAGCAUAUAUACUAAAAUUGGAACGAUACAGAGAAGAUUAGAAUGGCCCCUGCGCAAGGAUGACACGCAAAAAAUACAAAAAAGGGGCCAGAGAGAU